rnacentral:rRNA from 1 species
AGCGAACGCUGGCGGCAGGCUUAACACAUGCAAGUCGAGCGGGCGUAGCAAUACGUCAGCGGCAGACGGGUGAGUAACGCGUGGGAACGUACCUUUUGGUUCGGAACAACACAGGGAAACUUGUGCUAAUACCGGAUAAGCCCUUACGGGGAAAGAUUUAUCGCCGAAAGAUCGGCCCGCGUCUGAUUAGCUAGUUGGUGAGGUAACGGCUCACCAAGGCGACGAUCAGUAGCUGGUCUGAGAGGAUGAUCAGCCACAUUGGGACUGAGACACGGCCCAAACUCCUACGGGAGGCAGCAGUGGGGAAUAUUGGACAAUGGGCGCAAGCCUGAUCCAGCCAUGCCGCGUGAGUGAUGAAGGCCCUAGGGUUGUAAAGCUCUUUUGUGCGGGAAGAUAAUGACGGUACCGCAAGAAUAAGCCCCGGCUAACUUCGUGCCAGCAGCCGCGGU